CACGUAGGGCGCGAGCGUUGUCCGGAAUUAUUGGGCGUAAAGAGCUCGUAGGCGGCCUGUUGCGUCCGCUGUGAAAAGCCCGGGGCUUAACCCCGGUCGGCAGUGGAUACGGCAGGCUAGAGGUAGAUAGGGGAGAAUGGAAUUCCCGGUGUAGCGGUGAAAUGCGCAGAUAUCGGGAGGAACACCGGUGGCGAAGGCGGUUCUCUGGGCCUUACCUGACGCUGAGGAGCGAAAGCGUGGGGAGCGAACAGG
rnacentral:rRNA from 1 species